rfam:Schistosoma rodhaini strain Burundi genome assembly, scaffold: SROB_scaffold0000704
AUCCAGCUGACGAGUGCCAAAUAGGACGAAACACGCGUCCUGGAU